rnacentral:rRNA from 1 species
CAAGCGACUGUUUACCAAAAACAUAGGUUUCUGCUAAGUCGCAAGACGAUGUAUAGGAGCUGACGCCUGCCCGGUGCUGGAAGGUUAAGGGGAUCUGUUAGAGCAAUCGAAGCAGUGAACUUAACCCCCAGUCAACGGCGGCCGGAACUAUAACGGUCCUAAGGUAGCGAAAUUCCUUGUCGGGUAAGUUCCGACCCGAACGAAAGGCGUAACGAUUUGGGCACUGGCUCAACAACAGACUCGGUGAAAUUGUAAGUCCGGGGAAGAUGCCGGAUACCUGCGACAGGACGGAAAGACCCCAUGGAGCUUUACUGUAGCUUGACAUUGGGUCUUGGUACUACAUGUACAGGAUAGGUGGGAGGCUUUGAAACCAGGACGCCAGUUUUGGCGGAGCCAUCCUUGGGAUACCACCCUUGUAGUACUGGGACUCUAACCAUAGGCCAUGAAUCUGGUCUUGGGACACUGUCAGGUGGGCAGUUUGACUGGGGCGGUCGCCUCCCAAAAGGUAACGGAGGCGCUCAAAGGUUCUCUCAGUACGGUCGGAAAUCGUACGUAGAGUGUAAAGGCAAAAGAGAGCUUGAUUGCAAGACAUACAGGUCGAGCAAGGAUGAAAAUCGGACUUAGUGAUCCGGUGGUUCUGCGUGGAAGGGCCAUCGCUCAACGGAUAAAAG